AGUAAUGAAUCGCUAAUGUACCCCGGACUCUGGGAUAGCCGGCCGAAAGGCCGGGUAAUACCAGAUGACAUCAUCCCCCCGCAUGGGGGGAUGCUCAAAGGUCCGCCGGUCUGGGAGCAGGCGAUUUCGUAUCAGCUAGUUGGUGAGGUAACGGCUCACCAAGGCGACGACGCGUAGCCGGACUGAGAGGUUGGCCGGCCACAUUGGGACUGAGACACUGCCCAG
rnacentral:rRNA from 1 species